rnacentral:misc_RNA from 3 species
ACACCCUCAAGCUCUGCUUGGUGUUGGGCGUCUGUCCCGCCUCAGCGCGCGGACUCGCCCCAAAUCCAUUGGCAGCGGUCCUUGCCUCCUCUCGCGCAGCACAUUGCGCUUCUCGAGGGGCUCCGGCCCGCGUCCAACAAGAAAACAUUACCGU